UACGAAGGGGGCUAGCGUUGUUCGGAUUUACUGGGCGUAAAGCGCACGUAGGCGGACUGUUAAGUCGGAGGUGAAAGCCCAGGGCUCAACCCUGGAAUUGCCUUCGAUACUGGCAGUCUUGAGUAUGAUAGAGGUUAGUGGAAUUCCUAGUGUAGAGGUGAAAUUCGUAGAUAUUAGGAAGAACACCAGUGGCGAAGGCGGCUAACUGGAUCAUAACUGACGCUGAGGUGCGAAAGCGUGGGGAUCAAACAGG
rnacentral:rRNA from 1 species